GGGGGACUGGGGGGGCUAUGGUGGUCUUUGUGGUGCAUUCGGCAGCUGGCGCAGGGCGGCUCACCCACACGGCGGGCGGCUCUUCCGCGACACCCCACGCUCCGGCAGCAUCCGCAGACAACCGGCAGCGGCCACCGCCUGCCCACGCCUCGAGCUCCCCACCGCCACGGUCCCCGCCAGCCCAUGAAGUGAUUCGGGUGGGUGGCACAGCCUCUGCUCCUGCCAUAGCCGCCGCCGCCGCACCGGGCACCGAGGUAAGGACCCAGGGCUGUGGCCGUGGGGUGGGUGGGAUGCUCCGGCGCGGGCACCAGACCCCCAAACCGGGUCCGUGGGGCAGAAAUCCCAGUUGGGGUCUUCCCCUGUCCAUGGGGGAUACCCAGCCCCGUCACCUGGGGGAACCGGCAUGACCCUGUGGGGGUCACCUGGGGCAGCCCCCCCCCGUCCCCCGGCCGAGCAUGGGGGGCCAGGGCGGAGGAACCGGGGUGCCUCGGGGGAGGCGGCGAGGCCAGGGGCGACCACAGGAAGAGUGAUGCUCACGAACCCGCGCCCCGCUUCCCUCCCCGCCUCGGCAAACGGCAGCGGCUGAAGUGCCGGGGGGAGAGCCGCCACGUUUUGGCAGAUGCUCACACCCGUGCGCCUCGGCCGGGGAGGGUUUGGGGCUGGGGACAGCGGGGCCGUGGGGUGCAGAGCCCGGCAGGACGGGCGCAGGUAGGUGCCACGGCAGCAGCGGUGGGGGCUCGGGUGUGCCGGGGUGUCCGGCCGGCGGCACCGGUGCUGUUCCACUCUGUUCUGUUUCUCUCGCUCAGGUCUGCUGGCCAUGGGCAACCUGAUAAAGGUAUUGGGCAAAGAUUUAGAAAACUGUCCUCAUUUUUUCCUGGAUUUUGAAAGUAAGUCCCGUGAGCAGGGCGGGCGCGGGGAGGGGGCCAGGGCCGCCACCGCGGCUGCUCUCCGGAAGAUGGGGACAGGCACGGCGUCCCCGAGCAGCCCCGUGUCCCCAGGCGCCUUGGGGACAUACCCCGCAAAGGGCUGAGUGGGGCAGGGGAGCGGGACCCCAAGAGAUGCCCUGACCCUGAAAGCGUGGGGAGACGUCCCCGGCCGAGUGGCGGGGAUACAGGAUACGUCCCGGCAGCGGGACCUGGCCCACGAGGACCUCAGGGAU
rnacentral:lncRNA from 1 species